AGUAAACGCUGGCGGUAGGCCUAACACAUGCAAGUCGAACGGCAGCACCGGAGAGCUUGCUCUCUGGGUGGCGAGUGGCGGACGGGUGAGGAAUACAUCGGAAUCUACCUUUUCGUGGGGGAUAACGUAGGGAAACUUACGCUAAUACCGCAUACGACCUACGGGUGAAAGUGGGGGACCGCAAGGCCUCAAGCGAUUAGAUGAGCCGAUGUCCGAUUAGCUAGUUGGCGGGGUAAUGGCCCACCAAGGCGACGAUCGGUAGCUGGUCUGAGAGGAUGAUCAGCCACACUGGAACUGAGACACGGUCCAGACUCCUACGGGAGGCAGCAGUGGGGAAUAUUGGACAAUGGGCGCAAGCCUGAUCCAGCCAUACCGCGUGGGUGAAGAAGGCCUUCGGGUUGUAAAGCCCUUUUGUUGGGAAAGAAAUCCUGUCGAUUAAUACUCGGUGGGGAUGACGGUACCCAAAGAAUAAGCACCGGCUAACUUCGUGCCAGCCGCCGCUGUAAUAC
rnacentral:rRNA from 1 species